rnacentral:rRNA from 1 species
GACGAACGCUGGCGGCGUGCUUAACACAUGCAAGUCGAACGAUGAAGCCCAGCUUGCUGGGUGGAUUAGUGGCGAACGGGUGAGUAACACGUGGGUGAUCUGCCCUGCACUUCGGGAUAAGCCUGGGAAACUGGGUCUAAUACCGGAUAGGACCUUCUGCCGCAUGGUGGGGGGUGGAAAGGUUUUCCGGUGCAGGAUGGGCCCGCGGCCUAUCAGCUUGUUGGUGGGGUAACGGCCCACCAAGGCGACGACGGGUAGCCGGCCUGAGAGGGCGACCGGCCACACGGGGACUGAGACACGGCCCAGACUCCUACGGGAGGCAGCAGUGGGGAAUAUUGCACAAUGGGCGCAAGCCUGAUGCAGCGACGCCGCGUGAGGGAUGACGGCCUUCGGGUUGUAAACCUCUUUCAGUACCGACGAAGCGCAAGUGACGGUAGGUACAGAAGAAGCACCGGCCAACUACGUGCCAGCCGCCGCCGUAAAAC